CCUACGGGAGGCAGCAGUGAGGAAUAUUGGUCAAUGGGCGGGAGCCUGAACCAGCCAAGCCGCGUGAGGGAAGAAGGUACAGCGGAUUGUAAACCUCUUUUGUCAGGGAACAAAGGCGGGGACUAGUCCCCGGAUGAGGGUACCCGAAGAAAAAGCAUCGGCUAACUCCGUGCCAGCAGCCGCGGUAAUACGGAGGAUGCGAGCGUUAUCCGGAUUUAUUGGGUUUAAAGGGUGCGCAGGCGGACGCGAAAGUCAGCGGUAAAAGUGCGGGGUUCAACCUCGGCCCGCCGUUGAAACUGGGGGUCUGGAGUGGGAGAGAAGUACGCGGAAUGCGCGGUGUAGCGGUGAAAUGCUUAGAUAGCACGCAGAACCCCGAUUGCGAAGGCAGCGUACCGGCUCCCCACUGACGCUGAUGCACGAAAGCGUGGGUAUCGAACAGGAUUAGAUACCCGAGUAGUC
rnacentral:rRNA from 1 species